rnacentral:rRNA from 1 species
GACGAACGCUGGCGGCGUGCUUAACACAUGCAAGUCGAACGGUGAAGGGACCGGUUUUUGCUGGUUCUGGAUGAGUGGCGAACGGGUGAGUAACACGUGAGUAACCUGCCCCCUUCUUCUGGAUAACCGCAUGAAAGUGUGGCUAAUACGGGAUAUUCUGCGCCUGCUGCAUGGUGGGUGUGGGAAAGAUAUUGUUUCGGUGGGGGAUGGGCUCGCGGCCUAUCAGCUUGUUGGUGGGGUGAUGGCCUACCAAGGCGGUGACGGGUAGCCGGCCUGAGAGGGUGGACGGUCACACUGGGACUGAGACACGGCCCAGACUCCUACGGGAGGCAGCAGUGGAGAAUAUUGCACAAUGGGCGCAAGCCUGAUGCAGCGACGCCGCGUGAGGGAUGGAGGCCUUCGGGUUGUAAACCUCUUUCGCCAGUGAAGCAGGCCUGUCCCUUUUGUGGGUGGGUUGACGGUAGCUGGAUAAGAAGCGCCGGCUAACUACGUG